rnacentral:rRNA from 1 species
GAUGAACGCUGGCGGCGUGCCUAACACAUGCAAGUCGAACGAACCUUGGGGAACAGAUUACUUCGGUAUGAAGUUCCCCGCUGGUUAGUGGCGGACGGGUGAGUAACGCGUGGGUAACCUGCCGUAUGCAGGGGGAUAACAGUUAGAAAUGACUGCUAAUACCGCAUAAGCGCACAGUAUCGCAUGAUACAGUGUGAAAAACGAUAGUGGCAUACGAUGGACCCGCGUCUGAUUAGCUAGUUGGCGGGGUAACGGCCCACCAAGGCGACGAUCAGUAGCCGGCCUGAGAGGGUGAACGGCCACAUUGGAACUGAGACACGGUCCAAACUCCUACGGGAGGCAGCAGUGGGGGAUAUUGCACAAUGGGGGAAACCCUGAUGCAGCGACGCCGCGUGAGUGAAGAAGUAUUUCGGUAUGUAAAGCUCUAUCAGCAGGAAAGAUAAAUGACGGUACCUGACUAAGAAGCACCGGCUAAAUACGUGCCAGCAGCC